rnacentral:rRNA from 1 species
UACGUAGGGGGCAAGCGUUGUCCGGAAUCACUGGGCGUAAAGCGUGCGCAGGCGGUUUGGCAGGUCCGGAGUGAAAGUCCAAGGCUCAACCUUGGGAAUGCUUUGGAAACGGUCAGACUUGAGUGCUGGAGAGGCAAGGGGAAUUCCACGUGUAGCGGUGAAAUGCGUAGAUAUGUGGAGGAAUACCAGUGGCGAAGGCGCCUUGCUGGACAGUGACUGACGCUGAGGCACGAAAGCGUGGGGAGCGAACAGG